CCGAAUCGUCAACAUGAGUUGUUGCUGGUCCUCAAGCGGGGGCAUGUGCACGCUCUGUUCACACAUCCACUCACACCUGUGCACCCUCUGUAGUUCUGUGGCCUGGGAGGCUCUGUCCCCCUUGCCGUGGUUCUAUGUCUUUACACACACGCUAUGAUAAAGUCUUAUGGAAUGUAUGUCGCGUCUAACGCAAUACAAUA
rnacentral:misc_RNA from 1 species